ensembl:lncRNA
GUGGAUUAUAAUAAAUCCUGGUCCUUCCGGAUAAUGUGGCCAUUCACAUCCAGAAGAGUGAGAGGGAAAUAAAACAAGAACCAGAAAGUCUGUCUCCUUGGGAGAAGAAGGAAAGGAGGGAAGAAAAGAAGAAGACAGAAAGGGAGGGUCAAAAGCAAGGUUACAGAAGGAACUCUCUUGGAAGGAUCCUACUCACAAACAGCUCUCAAGCGCUGCUGAUUUUUUAUUUCUUGUGUUUCUUGUGCCCCCCAUUGGGCGCCAUUUGUUACGGGAGCAACCUGCUAGUGGCUGCAAGGUAUUAUAGGAUCCACCUGCUAGUGGCUGCUAGGAAUCUAAUUCUGACCAGCAGAAUAGAUCCCUUCAUAUGAGAGGAUGAUAAUGAUACAAAGAGCCUGAGAGACAGUUGCAUUCUCUGACUUCUCUCCUCUCUUGCCUCCAAUUUAUUUCAUUCCCAAUCCACAAGCAACAUCUGUGUCAGUAAAGGCUGAUUUGCAAUUCCUUCAGGAGUGGUAUGAUUCAUAGCUGUGGGGGCUUUUGGAAAACUGAUCUGCCCCUUCACACUUAGGCAUGGUCCUUAACACUUUAUCAUAUGAAUUGCUUUUUAGCUACAUUUCCCUCAUCCUGUUGCACAGUGAUGACAUUGAUAACAACAUAGUAGAACCUUGGGGUACAUGAAGUAUUCAGUGAAGACUAGUACCCAAGCCUUUUUAGGGCUGUUCAGCUAGCUUUGGUGUCUAUUUUUCUCCCAAAACUCACCUGUGUUUCUUAAGAAGCAUGAACAGCAGUCACAUCCUAGUAACCCAUCUCAGCAGAUAAACUAUACCAGGUAGAAAAUAAUUGACAGGAUUCAAACUCAUUGAUGAGUUAGAGAGAUGUCUAUCCCAAGCAUGUGAAGAGUUUCCUUUGUAGAAUGAGUAGAUAAGGAUGAUUUGUUUCUAUGGCCAUAAAAAUUAGGGGUUGGUCAGGCAUCUUUGUUAAGGUAAUAUAUAAAGAAAUUGGCCAAGAUAUGAGGAGUGAGAAAGGAACUCUCUGAAACCCUCCCAAAUUCCUUUCCAAACAAUUAGAAAACUGCCUCACCAUUAAUCUAGGAGCAGGGAAACAGCUUACCAGUACAGAUGAAGAGGUCUGUUUCCCUGGGGUGGGAGGGGAGUGAUGUGUAGGAGCAGUGCCAGUCAGUUUCAUAGCACAGGAACCUGCAGCAAGGCUCCAAACCUGGAGCUGAUUGGUUGUUAUCCUUUGUUCUAGAAGAGGACCAAAAUGACAUCACUAUCUUACAGUAGAGUUACAGUGUGUCCAACGGGUUGAUCAGACCAAUACAAGCUCAAAAUGCUCUGCCACAAGUCAAACAGUUUCUAUGAACAUUUGUUCUGUGUGAAUUCUCCGCAAAAUCAUUUUUUUGGGGAAGUGUAUAUUUGGCAUUUGAACAAUGUGGCCAGCCCAAUGGAGUUUUGCUCUUUGCAGUGGAGUUGAAAUGCUUGGCAAUUUAGUUUGAGGAAGGACCUCAGUAUUUCAUACUUUAUCCUUCCAGGUGAUCUUCAGAAUCUUCCUAAGAUAAUUCAAAUAAAAGUGAUUCAGUUUCCUGGCAUGGCAGUGGUAUACUGUCCAGUUUUCAUAUAUAUACAUACAGAUGUUAGCAUAUCUUUAUAAAGAUAAAGAGAAUAGAUCAUGCUGUGACAACCACAAAGGGCUGGGAGAUCUCUCUCUGAAACCAGUCUCUUCCUAAAGUAAGCAGUCUAUGCAGCACGGCAAGGUUGCAUCUCAUAGACUAUCCCCAGCACAAACCACAAGUAAUUAUUGGCCUUACCGCUGAUCAGUAGUGAAGCCUUGAUCCUGGAGUUGGCUAGUAGUGAAAUCCCAUCCCUGGGGCUAAUCACCAGAGAGAUCCUGUUUCCACAACAACCCAGCAGCAGGGCCCUGCCCCUGCAAAAGGCCAGCAAUUAAACUGCAUAUUCAAAGGAGGCCAAUAGAGAGGUCCCACUCCUGGUACAAGCCAGAACCCUAACUUCAAGAGAAAGCAAGAAGCUAAGUCUUGAAGCAAAAUGAAAGCCAGCAGUAAGACCUAGCACCACUAUGAUAUUCCAAAAGGCAAAGGAGUUAAGUUUAUAACCAAUAAUAACCUACCCAACUAAAUUGAAUAUAAUCUGUUGGGGAGCAGGGGGAGGGAUAGACAUUUAAUAAAACAGAGGACUUUUAG